GGUUAGAUUAACGUGUUAGUAAUCCAAUUGUAGGCGGUUCGUGUGUGGAUCUCGUCAACAUAUCGUCGCAAACAGGAAAUCCCCAACCAUAGUGGGCUUGGAGCUAUGAGGGAAUUCGGAGUGGCCACCCGUUCUGAAAGUUUGAUUUUCUUCUGGUGAACUGGACAUCCUUUUAAUUACGUUUGAGGUUUUGGGCUUUGAAAUGUAAUAAGGCCGCUUAUUUAUUUUUGAUGGUUUUUAAUAUGUAUUACUAAGAUAGGUAAUACUUAUUUUAACUGUUGAAAUUAGAUAGCUUUAGGGCGCGUUUUCAAAAACAACAGUUGAUUUCAAAAUAACACGACAACAAGCAAAGCUUCCGCAAUGAAA